rnacentral:rRNA from 1 species
UACGGGGGGAGCAAGCGUUGUUCGGAUUUACUGGGCGUAAAGGGCGCGUAGGCGGCGUAACAAGUCACUUGUGAAAUCUCCGGGCUUAACCCGGAAAGGUCAGCCGAUACUGCGGGGCUAGAGUGCAGAAGGGGCAACUGGAAUUCUCGGUGUAGCGGUGAAAUGCGUAGAUAUCGAGAGGAACACCUGCGGCGAAGGCGGGUUGCUGGGCUGACACUGACGCUGAUGCGCGAAAGCUAGGGGAGCGAACGGG